rnacentral:rRNA from 1 species
UGGGGAAUAUUGCACAAUGGGCGAAAGCCUGAUGCAGCGACGCCGCGUGAGGGAUGACGGCCUUCGGGUUGUAAACCUCUUUCAGUAGGGACGAAGCGCAAGUGACGGUACCUGCAGAAGAAGCACCGGCUAACUACGUGCCAGCAGCCGCGGUAAUACGUAGGGUGCGGGCGUUGUCCGGAAUUACUGGGCGUAAAGAGCUCGUAGGCGGUUUGUCACGUCGUCUGUGAAAUCCUAGGGCUUAGCCCUGGACGUGCAGGCGAGACGGGCUGACUUGAGUUCUAGAGGGGAGACUGGAAUUUCUGGUGUAGCGGUGGAAUGCACAGAUAUCAGGAAGAACACCGAUGGCGAAGGCAGGUCUCUGGGUCGUAACAGACGCUGAGGAGCGAAAGCAUGGGUAGCGAACAGG